AAAAUUGGAAAGGGCUCUUUUGGUGAAGUG
rnacentral:piRNA from 1 species